GACGAACGCUGGCGGCGUGCCUAAUACAUGCAAGUCGAGCGGAUUUAUCCUUCGGGAUAAGUUAGCGGCGGACGGGUGAGUAACACGUAGGCAACCUGCCUAUAAGACCGGGAUAACUAUCGGAAACGAUAGCUAAGACCGGAUAACUGGUUUUCUCGCAUGAGAGAAUCAUGAAACACGGAGCAAUCUGUGGCUUAUAGAUGGGCCUGCGGCGCAUUAGCUAGUUGGUGAGGUAACGGCUCACCAAGGCGACGAUGCGUAGCCGACCUGAGAGGGUGAACGGCCACACUGGGACUGAGACACGGCCCAGACUCCUACGGGAGGCAGCAGUAGGGAAUCUUCCGCAAUGGACGCAAGUCUGACGGAGCAACGCCGCGUGAGUGAUGAAGGUUUUCGGAUCGUAAAGCUCUGUUGCCCUAGACGAACAGCAAGGCGAGUAACUGCGCUUUGUGUGACGGUAUAGGAGAAGAAAGCCCCGGCUAACUACGUGCCAGCCGCCGCCGUAAGAC
rnacentral:rRNA from 1 species